AUUGAACGCUGGCGGCAGGCCUAACACAUGCAAGUCGAGCGAGCGGCGGACGGGUGAGUAAUGUCUGGUAAACUGCCCGAUGGAGGGGGAUAACUACUGGAAACGGUCGCUAAUACCGCAUACCAUCGGAUGUGCCACGAUGGGAUGAGCUAGUAGGUGGGGUAAUGGCUAACCUAGGCGACGAUCCCUAGCUGGUCUGAGAGGAUGACCAGACAGACUGUAACUGAGACACGGUCCAUACUCCUACGGGAGGCAGCAGUGGGUAAUAUUGAACAAUGGGCGCAAGCCUGAUGCAUCCAUGCCGCGUGUAUGAAGAAGGCCUUCGGGUUGUAAAGUACUUUCAGCGGGGAGGCGUUACCCGCAGAAGAAGCACCGGCUAACUCCGUGCCAGCAGCCGCGGUAAUAC
rnacentral:rRNA from 1 species